rnacentral:rRNA from 1 species
UACAGAGGGUGCAAGCGUUGUUCGGAAUUACUGGGCGUAAAGCGAGUGUAGGCGGUCUAUUAAGUCAGAUGUGAAAUCCCUUGGCUCAACCGAGGAACUGCAUCUGAUACUGGUAGACUUGAGUGUCGGAGGGGAUGGUAGAAUUCCUGGUGUAGAGGUGAAAUUCGUAGAUAUCUGGAGGAACACCGGUGGCGAAGGCGGCAUCCUGGACCGAUACUGACGCUGAGGAGCGAAAGCCAGGGGAGCAAACGGG